UACGGGGGGGGCAAGCGUUGUUCGGAAUUACUGGGCGUAAAGGGCGCGUAGGCGGCGCAACAAGUCACUUGUGAAAUCUCCGGGCUUAACCCGGAGCGGCCAAGUGAUACUGUCGUGCUAGAGUGCGGAAGGGGCUACUGGAAUUCUCGGUGUAGCGGUGAAAUGCGUAGAUAUCGAGAGGAACACCUGCGGCGAAGGCGGGUAGCUGGGCC
rnacentral:rRNA from 1 species